rnacentral:rRNA from 1 species
UACGUAGGGUGCAAGCGUUGUCCGGAAUUAUUGGGCGUAAAGAGCUCGUAGGCGGUCUGUCGCGUCGGCUGUGAAAUCCCGAGGCUCAACCUCGGGUCUGCAGUCGAUACGGGCAAACUAGAGUAUUGCAGGGGAGACUGGAAUUCCUGGUGUAGCGGUGAAAUGCGCAGAUAUCAGGAGGAACACCGGUGGCGAAGGCGGGUCUGUGGGCAAUAACUGACGCUGAGGAGCGAAAGCGUGGGGAGCGAACAGG